rnacentral:tRNA from 1 species
AGGCGAGUAAGCUAAUCAAGCUAAUGGGUUCAUACCCCAUCUAUAAAGGUUGUACUCCUUUCUUAUCUA